rnacentral:rRNA from 1 species
GAAGGGAGCUUGCUCCUGGAUUCAGCGGCGGACGGGUGAGUAAUGCCUAGGAAUCUGCCUGGUAGUGGGGGAUAACGUCCGGAAACGGGCGCUAAUACCGCAUACGUCCUGAGGGAGAAAGUGGGGGAUCUUCGGACCUCACGCUAUCAGAUGAGCCUAGGUCGGAUUAGCUAGUUGGUGGGGUAAAGGCCUACCAAGGCGACGAUCCGUAACUGGUCUGAGAGGAUGAUCAGUCACACUGGAACUGAGACACGGUCCAGACUCCUACGGGAGGCAGCAGUGGGGAAUAUUGGACAAUGGGCGAAAGCCUGAUCCAGCCAUGCCGCGUGUGUGAAGAAGGUCUUCGGAUUGUAAAGCACUUUAAGUUGGGAGGAAGGGCAGUAAGUUAAUACCUUGCUGUUUUGACGUUACCAACAGAAUAAGCACCGGCUAACUUCGUGCCAGCAGCCGCGGUAAUACGAAGGGUGCAAGCGUUAAUCGGAAUUACUGGGCGUAAAGCGCGCGUAGGUGGUUCAGCAAGUUGGAUGUGAAAUCCCCGGGCUCAACCUGGGAACUGCAUCCAAAACUACUGAGCUAGAGUACGGUAGAGGGUGGUGGAAUUUCCUGUGUAGCGGUGAAAUGCGUAGAUAUAGGAAGGAACACCAGUGGCGAAGGCGACCACCUGGACUGAUACUGACACUGAGGUGCGAAAGCGUGGGGAGCAAACAGGAUUAGAUACCCUGGUAGUCCACGCCGUAAACGAUGUCGACUAGCCGUUGGGAUCCUUGAGAUCUUAGUGGCGCAGCUAACGCGAUAAGUCGACCGCCUGGGGAGUACGGCCGCAAGGUUAAAACUCAAAUGAAUUGACGGGGGCCCGCACAAGCGGUGGNNCAUGUGGUUUAAUUCGAAGCAACGCGAAGAACCCUUACCUGGCCUUGACAUGCUGAGAACUUUCCAGA